UUUCCGUAGGUGAACCUGCGGAAGGAUCAUUAAUAAAUGGCUCGAUUUAAGAGCACUUAAUAAUCAUCCUACCCUUUGUGAAUUUGUUGUUUGAAAUAAUUUUUUUUAAAAUUAUUGAUUGUCUUUCCCUGUUGAAUUGGUUGUCUUUGGACGAGUUGAUUCUCAGGGGAUAGUCAGUAAUUUUUAAAAAGACCUUUUUUAAAAUUAAACUUUUUGUAUUCAUUUGUCUAAAAUUAUUUUUAUAAUAUAAAAACAACUUUUGACAAUGGAUCUCUUGGUUCUCGCAACGAUGAAGAACGCAGCAAAAUGCGAUAAGUAGUGUGAAUUGCAGAAUACGUGAAUCAUCGAAUCUUCGAACGCAUAUUGCACUUUUUUAGUUUACUAAAAAAGUAUGUCUGUUUGAGUAUCAGUAAAAUAUUCUCAUAAAAACUUUUUUGUUUUAUGGUUAUGAGUGUUUACAACGAUACAAGUUGUUUCACUUUAAAUUUUUUAAAAUUUGAAUUUUUUUCUAAUUUUAAAUAAAAUUGGAUAAAAUUUUCCCGUAAAAAGGAAUAACCUAAACAAUUUUACUUAUUUUAGAAGAAAUUUCAACCAAAGGAAAAUUUAACAAAAUAACUUGAUCUCAAAUCAGAUAAGAGUACCCGCUGAACUUAAGCAUAUCAAUAAGCGGAGGAAAAGAAACUAACAAGGAUUCCCUUAGUAACGGCGAGUGAAGCGGGAAGAGCUCAAAUUUGAAAUCUUCAAGGUUUUACCUUGACGAAUUGUAGUUUAAAGAAGUGUUUUCUGUUGAAGUUUUGGUAAAAGUUCUUCGGAAUAGGACAUCAUAGAGGGUGAGAAUCCCGUAUUUGACCAUUAUUUUCAGCUGUGUGAUACACUUUCAAAGAGUCGGAUUGUUGGGAAUGCAGUCCAAAAUGGGUGGUAAAUUUCAUCUAAAGCUAAAUAUUGGCGAGAGACCGAUAGCGAACAAGUACCGUGAGGGAAAGAUGAAAAGAACUUUGAAAAGAGAGUUAAACAGUACGUGAAAUUGUCAAAAGGGAAGCGUUUGACACCAGUGUUGUUUUCUCGAAAAUCAAUUAAAAAUGGCUGGAUUCUGUGUUGUAUUGACCUUAACAGCUUUCUUCACUUUUUUCCUGUCUUCUUUAAUGCACUUUUCGUUUAACAAGUCAACAUCAGUUUCUUUUGUUGUAAAAGGGUCAUUGGAAGGUGGCUUUCUUUUCGGAGAAAGUGUUUAUAGCCUUUGAUCUCUGCAAUCGGAGAGACUGAGGUCUGCAGCGUAGACUCUUCGGGGUUAGAUACAUUUGUGCUAAGUUAUAGCUUUUCAUAGACAACUUGUUGACUAUGUUUAGUCUUGUAGCUUACUCGCUUAUGCUAUUU
rnacentral:misc_RNA from 1 species